UACGAAGGGGGCUAGCGUUGCUCGGAAUCACUGGGCGUAAAGGGCGCGUAGGCGGACUCUUAAGUCGGGGGGUGAAAGCCCAGGGCUCAACCCUGGAAUUGCCUUCGAUACUGAGAGUCUUGAGUUCGGAAGAGGUUGGUGGAACUGCGAGUGUAGAGGUGAAAUUCGUAGAUAUUCGCAAGAACACCAGUGGCGAAGGCGGCCAACUGGUCCGAUACUGACGCUGAGGCGCGAAAAGCGUGGGGGAGCAAACAGG
rnacentral:rRNA from 1 species